GUUUAGGAAGAGUACACAUGGGUUGUGUAAAGUUUAAAGUGUUAGUGUGUACUAAAAUAAUGUAAUAGAACACUGAAUUACUGAUUCGAACUAAUAAGCUAAACAUAACAAACAAUGAAACAUGGCUAUCAGAAGUACAUGAUGGUGAUCGAUUAGUGCUUUGGAAAUUGUUAAUUAAUCAGAUAAGAGAAGAAAGGAAAAAAGUGAUUUGAUAUUCAACAAAUCAAUAAGACGUAUACUGGAUAAUAAUAUAAAACGGCGUCAAAUAGGGAGUUACCAUAAAAUACGGAUAAAAAUGGUUGUUAAGACAAGUGAUGCAUCGGAACAAACGCAAAUAUUAUGAAUGCGCGAUGAAAACAACAGGCAUAAACAUUUAACAUUGAAGUUGCUGAAGUGAUUUUGGUAUUCUCAAUUCAUCAUGCUCCGACUAU